GACGAACGCUGGCGGCGUGCUUAACACAUGCAAGACGAACGGAAAGGCCUGCUUUCCCUUGUGGAUUGCGGGUACUCGAGUGGCGAACGGGUGAGUAACACGUGAGUGAUCUGCCCCCAACUUGGGUAUAAGCCUGGGAAACUGGGUCUAAUUCCCGAUAGGACUGCAGGGUGGUGCCUGUGGUGGAAAACGAUUUUCUAGUGGUUGGGGAUGAGCUCGCGGCCUAUCAGCUUGUUGGUGGGGUAAUGGCCUACCAAGGCGGCGACGGGUAGCCGGCCUGGGAGGGUGGACGGACACAUUGGGACUGAGAUACGGCCCAGACUCCUACGGGAGGCAGCAGUGGGGAAUAUUGCACAAUGGGCGGAAGCCUGAUGCAGCGACGCCGCGUGGGGGAUGACGGCCUUCGGGUUGUAAACUCCUUUCGACCGCGAGGAAGCCACCUGGUUGGAAGGGUGGUGACGGUAGUGGUAGAAGAAGCACCGGCUAACUACGUG
rnacentral:rRNA from 1 species